GGUGGCUCAGUGGUAGAGCACUUGCCUUGCAUGCAUGAGACCCUGGGUUCGAUUCCUUAGCACCA
rnacentral:tRNA from 1 species